GUUUCCGUAGUGUAAUGGUUAUCACGUGCGCUUCGCAUGCGCAAAAUCCCUGGCUCGAUCCCGGACAGGGAACA